rnacentral:rRNA from 1 species
UACAGAGGAUGCAAGCGUUAUCCGGAAUUAUUGGGCGUAAAGCGUCCGCAGGUGGUUUUGUAAGUCUGCUGUUAAAGCGUUAGGCUCAACCUAAUAAGGGCAGUGGAAACGAUGAGACUAGAGUAUGUUAGGGGUAGAGGGAAUUCCCAGUGUAGCGGUGAAAUGCGUAGAGAUUGGGAAGAACACCGGUGGCGAAAGCGCUCUGCUGGGACAAUACUGACACUGAGGGACGAAAGCUAGGGGAGCGAAUGGG